CGUAAGUACAAUCGAAUUGUAAAAUGCUAAAUGAACAUUGGAGUAUAUGUUAGAGCUUACCGAGGGUAUCAUUGAGGUAAAAAGGACCAUUCUUGAUAGCCCAAUCAGAGUAGUUAUAGCCAAAGUGCCAAUUUUGAGAGCCACCAACAAUGAUCUUCUUAGGUUGUUGUUCUGUCUUAUUUAUUUGACGAUGAUGGUUUCCAAAUCUGGACCACCAAUCAGUAUAGUUGAAAUUGCCAAAAGAGGGCCAGUCUUUGUUUGCAACAGUAACUGUAAACAUUGAAGCGGUUAUUAUUACUAGUAAGGUGAGGACAUGAACAAUGUUGGUGGUGGAGGCCAUUUUCUGAUUCAAUCUUGUUUCUUAGCUGCUUUCUAAGUUGUAAAUAAAGCAAGGGAGUGUGUUUUUUUGAGAGAAGUAAGGGAGUAUGUUAGUGUUGUGAUUUGGUAAGAGUUAUAUGAAGGGGGUUUAUAUAGAGGUGCAAGCGAUAGAAAAUUGAAGCGUUAGGCAAUAGGCAUGAAAUAUAUGUGGUGGUGUAGGAUGACCAAAUUGACUUUUAAUUAGUCUUUAUAUAAGUGGGGGUAGAAUUUGGGAACAAGUUGAAUAUAACAUUGUUGUUUUUGGAUAGGAGAGUAACACAAUUUACAUAGUUACAAAAUACCAUAAGAAGAUAGAUUUAUUUAAAAUAAAUGGUUAAUGUUUUGCAUUUUUGUGGUUAAUAAAGUAAUUCGAUGAGAUUUAUGAAUAUAUGUUAAAAAAAAGUACCACCAAAAUAUGAACGAUUUAUUAAUUUUUCUCUAUAUUUUCUACCCCGAAGCCUUCCCUCCAAAGGAUAUGUUUGACGUUUUAAGACGGGAAAACUUUGGAAAAUAGGAAGUAGAAGGAAUGAAGAGUUUUGGGAGGAAAAUUGUUUGGAGUGUUUAUAUUUUUCUUCAUAAUAAAAAAAUUCCUAAUUUAAAGAAACUCAUAAAUACAUUUGAUGAGGAUGUUUAAGGAUUUUAGGUUAGGGUUUAGAUAAUUUUUUCAAAUUAUUUUUAUGUUGUUAUAAUACUCUAAAUUUUUUAAAUAUAUUAAUCAUUAAUAUUCUUUCAUGUCAUUUCUCUAAAUAUACUCUUUCCCAUAAGAUGGAAGAAUUCUAUUUCUUUCCACUCUUUCUAUUAUCAAACUCUAAAUUGCGUUAAUUUGUUUUGUGUUGUACAUGGGGAAUGGUAAUUAAGUUGAAUUGAGACAUGAUCUCAAGGUUAAAAAAUAACUUAUUUGCCAGGAGUGAAAAUAAAAAGUAUGCAAAAACAACUAAAUAUCAACUGAAAAUGUCAAUAUUGUUAGACCGCAAACCUUAACGCGAGUUCGAACUUAAAAAUUUGCAAUUGUUAUGUGAUGUUUGUCACUUUAUCUACAAACUCAAAAAACUAAAUAAUUUAUGUAAUAUUUGAGAGAUAAAAUGAAUCUUUUAAAAUAUAAGUCAUCAAUCAAAAUAUAUUAUGAAAAUAAAAUAAGGGGCUACAUAUUUAGCAAAUCAAACAUUUUCUGCAUCAAUUGACAGAAAUGAUCUUUGGGCAACGUUUGAAAAUUAAAGACCAAAAUAAUUCUUUUAAAAGAUAAAGUAAAAUAAAUUUUAAAAAUAAGAUAAAAUACCAAAAGUAGCAUCGUAUGAGAUGGAAGUUGCUAUUAUGGCCUUUGAAUUUUAUGAUGGUAAAGCCAAUGUUUCUUACCAUUAAUGCACAUUUAACUGAAUCUAUACUGGGGGGGUAGGAAGUUUCAAAUACAAAACUGUAAAUAUUCAACAUGAUUUGAUUUAAUAAUGCUGAAUUAAAUACACGCCUUUGACUGACGUGAUGAUGACGGCUUGGUGGCAUGAAUUAAAUUUGAGCACAAGUAACAUGAUUGUCCAAAAUAUGAUUUCUGAAAAUAUUUCCAAAAUCUCUUGAGAAUGAGUGCUAUCAAAAAUGUAGGUUCUGAAGGCAGCAACUUAUCAUCACCAGCAAUGCAAGGCACAAUAGAAAAACUACAUCGAUGACUUGCCUUCAUUGAAUGGAAGCAAUUUUAAAGAUUGCAAACAAUUUUAUUUUUAAUCAACAUAAUUUAUUAGACUAACAGACCCGUACAAGACGUAAUAGUUGUACUGCAAUCAAAUACUCCCUCCGUCCCAAAUUGUAUGUCGCUUUAGAAAAAAAAAUUGUCCUAAAUUAUAUGUCGCUUUACAAUACCAAUGAAAUAUUUAUGUUAUUUUUCCUAUUAUAUCCUUAACUAUUAAUUACUCUAUCUUCUUUCAAUUAUUUCAUUUAUCUUUUCCAUACCAUUUAUUAGGGAUAAUUUUGUAAAACAACUCAUAAUUUCUCUUCCCCACGCAAUAUUAAUUACAUUUCUUAAUACGUGUGAAAUGGCCAAAACGUCUUACAAUUUGAGACGGAGGGAGUAUAUUGUUGUAAGCUAAUCCAUCUAUCCAAGUCAUGAUCUUGUACAUACUCAUAUCGGGUAUACGGAAUUUGGCUGAAUAUAUCGGUGUUUCAUGAGUUUAUUCAAGUGAUAUUAUAGAUUAUUUUAUACAACAUGGAUCCAUAGCUUAGUUCAAGAUUUAAAAAACGUGAGAAUUUUAAUUUGGUAGGGGAUGACAAAUAGCAUAUAGUUUUUAGAAAACCAGUUAACAAUGGGAUAAGAUGGCAGCAGAUACACCUUUGCGAUAUCAAAUUUCAAUUAAUUCAACUUAAGAUUGACCCAUAGAAGUUGAUGGUCUGUAUUUGAAAAACUAAACAGAAUUGAAUUUUAGCCGAGCACCUUUAUUGAAAAAGCACCUAACAUGACAAUAUUAUUCAGAAACAAAAAAACUACUAUUAUACAGAUGCACCAAAUAAUUUAUUCUUUUUUGAUAAAACGGAAUAGUAUCUCAAAUCACUAUAAGAAUAAGAAAACUCGCUUUAUUUUAAUUUGCUGGAACGUUUAUUGAAAAUUAAAAGAGAAAACUAUAAAAUUCAGAAGCCCUGCAGCAAGCAUGCAAUUCCAAUUUUCCAAGAGCUAGUUAGCUAUGUCAAGUUGUUGCAAAUGAACAUUUUUUCAAGGCCAUGAUUGCCAGAAAGGACGAAGCAUUGGCAUAACCGUAAACUUCAUUUGUCCAACGUUGCAAUGUAAUCCAUUUUUCUCACCACAUGAAAAGUAAUAAGGCUUCCACUUGUUUAACACGAACUUGAAUCCCUCUCCAACACCUUGUGUGUGAUUUGCCACCAUCUUAGCCUUCUUCACAUCACAUUUCAUGAAGCUCUGCCAAGUUGGAAACAUGUAUACGCUGUGUGGGAAACUCGUCGCAUUUGGAGCAUCAUAUUUGAAAACUACACAUGCAUAAAUAUCAAUAUCAAAUUGUAAAAGGCUAAAUGAACAUUGGAGUAUAUGUUAGGGCUUACUAGUGUAUUAAUAUUAAAUUUAUAAAAUAAUAUAUAUGCCUCAAUAAUUUAUUAAGUUUGACAAAUGGAGUUUAUAAUAAAGGGAAGCUUACCAAGAGUAUCAUUGAGGUAAAAAGGACCAUUCUUGAUAGCCCAAUCAGAGUAGUUAUAGCCAAAGUGCCAAUUUUGAGAGCCACCAACAAUGAUGUUCUUAGGUUGUUGUUCAGUCUUAUUUAUUUGAUGAUGAUGAUUUCCAAAUCUGGACCACCAAUCAGUGUAGUUAAAAUUGCCAAAAGAGGGCCAGUCUUUGUUUG
rnacentral:lncRNA from 1 species